ACACACGAUUUAAAAUCAUAUAUAGAUAAAAUACAGAAUGCUAUAUAAAACCUCAGUAUAAAAUAUUAUGGUCGGAUGUACAAUAUAUUCCAUUUACUCAUAAGGCAUCAUUGUGAAUGUUAAGUAAUGUAGGCAAAUAAAGGUUCAAUAUAAUUGAACAAUACUUAACUUGUAUGUCUGUGAAAACAUUACCCAGAAAUGACGGAAUGUUGUAUACUGAUAAAAUAAAAAUAUUAAAUAAAAUAAAUAUGCACAUUUUUUAAGCUUCGUCAAACGAGGGUGGGAGUUGGCAUUCGCGUAUCGUUUCAAGGAACAUUUCAAGCUCUAGGUUAACAAUAAAGGUUUGAUAUAAAGCCUUUCAACUACGUUUU
rnacentral:lncRNA from 1 species